UACGUAGGUGGCAAGCGUUGUCCGGAUUUACUGGGCGUAAAGAGCGCGCAGGCGGUCGUUCAAGUCGAGUGUGAAAGCCCCCGGCUCAACUGGGGAGGGUCACUCGAUACUGAUCGACUCGAAGGCAGAAGAGGGAAGCGGAAUUCCCGGUGUAGUGGUGAAAUGCGUAGAUAUCGGGAGGAACACCAGUGGCGAAAGCGACUUCCUGGACCAAUACUGACGCUGAGCCGCGAAAGCCAGGGGAGCGAACGGG
rnacentral:rRNA from 1 species